rnacentral:lncRNA from 1 species
UUUUAUUUUAUUAUAUUUUGUUUUGUUUUAUUAAAAAAAAGAAUGACAUCUAUGAUGUAGGGCUUGUGGACAAUGCCACCAGAUGGGCACAAGAAGGUGGAGGAGAUACUCAAACCUCAGGAAUCUCUGAGAUUUGAGAACAGCAGGAAUGGAGCUGGUCCCUCCAUGUUUCUGUGUCUGCUCUGCAACACUUAACCAUGACACCCAACUGAGAGGACCACAUGCAAUUAGUGAUGUAAUAUAACAUCUGAAGUCUUUCCCCAUGCAAAUAGAGUACCACCAACAUCUUAACCAGAGCCAAUAGAAAGCAUUUACCCCCCAAAUCCCAUCCUACUCUCUAAGGUUCAUAUAGUCCCUCUGUCCACCUGAAAUAAUGCCAAAUUAUUUCACCAAAUUAUUUCACCAAAGAUUGCCUGAGAGUGGCUUAUUUACUGAGCUGUACUACUUGGAGGAGGGGGUUUCUCUCCUGAAUCACUCAUGUUGGAUUUUAGACUCAAAUGUCUGGCCAAGCUCUCAUUGCCCACAAAAGAUCCUGGGCUGCUGCUGACAUCAUGGGACCUAGGAGUCAAGCUACUUACUUCACACAGGCUCCCCAAACUACUUUGUUCCUCUUUUAAGAGUUGUAACACUCCAGGCAUUCCAGGCUGGACCAGAGCCCUAUGGAACCUGUCUGUCCUAGGCUCUUGUUCAUACCAUCUGAUACCCCAGAGGAAAGGUGGGAAGGCUUUGGACUCCCUGUCCAGGACUUUGCCUAGUCCACACUCAUAAGAUUGGAUAUCUAGGGUGACCUGACACUGCCAACAGAGAGGCAAAUUCCAGGACCCAAAUAUGUUUCUAAUUACUGCCUGUUAUGAACAAAACUGCAAUGCACAUGGUUUAGUAAGUGUCUCUAUGUUAGGAUAAAGAAUCAAAUAACUGAAUAUUGAGGAAGAGAGGUUUCCAUCUUCUGAGAAACCAUUGUCACGUUGAUUUCCAUAUAGUAGUUGUAAAAGUUUGCAACCCAAUCAGCAAUGCGUGAGUGUUCCUCUUUUCCAUAUCCUUGCCAGAAUGAGCUGUCACACAUUUUUUUGUUUUUUUGUGUUUGGUUGGUUUGAGUUUUUUGUUUGUUUGUUUGUUUGUCUGUUUGUUUGUUUUUUAUCUUAGCCAUUCUGACAGGUGUAAAAUGAGAUACCAAAAUAGUUUUGAUUUUAAUUUACCUCACAGAUAAUGAUGUUAAAAAUUUAAGUGUUUUCUGCACCAUUUGAGUUUCCACUAUUUAGAAUUAUCUAUUUAGAUCUGUUCUACAUUUUCAAUUGAUUCUUUGUUUUCUUGAUAUCUAGUUUCUUGAGUUCUUCAUAUAUUUUGGAUAUUAGGCUUCUAUCAGAUUUCAGUGUGUUAAACUUACAGUUAAAAUUACCCAUUAAGCCCUUCCGGUUGGCAAAAGCUUGGGGUUACCUUGAGCACGAACUAGGCAGAGAGUCCCAUGGUCCCCAAAGGACUCUCCACGCAAUUGUAGAAUCACUUACCAGUAGAACACAAGAUCGGUUCCAAUCCAAUUAUGAUGGGCCUGUGAUAGCAGGAGCAAAGACAUGGGAGCCCUGCUUGACUGGCAGCUUGGGUUCCUUCUGAUCUGUAAUGCUAUACCUUGGUGUCAAACACACUAGACAGCCCAAGUUCCUCAGAGGACCUUCUACUCACUGUAACACAUCCAGGAUCAUAGGAUUCCAGGAUCCCAGGAAAACAGGAUCUUGGUCACUCCAGGAUCUGAGGGUCUCAGAAGAAGCUUGACUGCUAAAAACUCUGACACACCCAGAAUCACAGGAUCACAAAAGCCAAGAAUCACAGGAUCACAGAGAAAGCUGAACUCUGAGGAGUCCUGAAUCAAUUGGGAUUAAGGGAAGGACAGGUUCCAAACAAAUAUAUUAAGGGCAACAAGCAAUUGAGAUAAUCAGAUGGCAGGAAGCAAGCAUAAAAACAGAAGCAACAGAAACCAGGGUUACUGCAUCAUCAGAACCAAACUGUUCCAACAUAGCAAGUCCUGGAUACACCAUCACACCAGAAAAGCAAGACAUGGAUCAAAAGUUACUUCUCAUGAUGAUGAGGGAGGAGUUUAAGAAGGAAAUACAGG